UAGUAUAGUGGUAAGUAUUCUCGCCUGUCACGCGGAUGACCCGGGUUCGAUCCCCGG
rnacentral:tRNA from 1 species